rnacentral:misc_RNA from 1 species
CAAGAGGAGAACCAGAUUUUGACAACUUCACUGAUAUAACUUUAAUUGUUCCUUUGGCAGACGAGUUUGGAUCUGAAGCAAUUAGAGAUGCCAAUGAGUCAAGACAUUUCUGGUUGAGUAAAUCCCAUAUAUAUAACAAUCCCUUCCUUGUUACCAGUAACAACUUCCAGCACUCAUCACAAUCUAUAAAGGUUGCUGCAGAUCCCAUCAUCAUAGUUGGCAUGGCACGCCUCCCACACUUUGUGUAAACCUGCAGACAUCCAUCUUCGCACCCAACAGCCCAGAAGUUCGCAUUUCCAGCCAAAACUGUGACUUUUCCAGAGAUCCUAUCAGACCAAAGAUUUUGAGCCCCUCUUGUGCAAACAAUUUCUGUUUCUUUCAUCAUACAGGUAUUUCCCACUCCAAUAAUGUCAUUUACAGUAUGCUCUCUAGGACGAGCUUCCAAACAAAUUGGUACAGUAUCUUCCCCUACUUUCUUAUCAAAUACCCUAAUAGAAAGAGAUGUAGUAUAAGCACUGGAGGAACUGGAUGCCUUCACACUUCCAGACUGCUCCACAUUGAUGCUACCAUCUCCUCCUGAAGAGCCCAGAACCUUCUCAAUGACCAAGCUCUCCGUAAUGGUAGCCCUAGCAGUGACCCCAGAUCGAUCUUUUGAAUCAGAGCUUC